AAGACAAAUUAAAGACAAUAAAACAACAAAACAAAAAUAAACAAACAUAAGAAAAACACGCAAAUAAAAAGAAUCGAAAGAAAGAAAAUAGAAAACAAAACGAAAUAGAAAAAAAGUGAAAUUUCUUACGAACACCAAAAAUCUUUCAGGAAAAACAAGAGAGGAAAAAAAAUCCACAAGAACGUGACUGAAGAGAGAAAGAAAGAAAGAGAGAAGAGGAAAUAAAAGGAAAAAAAAAUAAAAGAAGAGGAAAAAAGAAGAACUAAACUCGACAUGUCAGCAAAAUUGAUACCAACUUACCUUUGAAGAUAUUACAGGUGUGUACGUGGACGCGCGGCGGACAGGUGAGGACAGGCGGGCAACACACCUGUGAACACACCUCAGCAGCCUCUCCACUGUUUACCUGCCGCGGGGAAAAGAGAGGAAGGAAAAAGAAGGGAAAAAAAACAAGUCCGCUGGAAAAAGAUGGUGAUGUGACGGCGGAGGAAAGAGGAAAGAAAAAGAAGGAAGGCAAAUAGAGGAAAUAAACAGAAUAAAAGGAAAAUAGGGGAUAGAAGGAAAAGGAGGAAGAGAAGAAGGAAAAACGAAAAGUCAGAGUGAGAAUGCGAGAAUUGUAAAAGGAGAAAAGGAGAGACAGAAAGAGAGAAAGAGAGAGAGAAAGAGAGAGAGAGAGAGAGAAAGCCAGUAGGGAAACAGAAAGCAAAAGGAUAAACGCAUAGCCAAAA